rnacentral:lncRNA from 1 species
GAGGACAAGUCAGUGCUCCUCGCUGCUGUUCCUCCUGGUUCCUGUUUCUCAGGCACUCUGGUCAUUCUGGUCCUCCCAGUCCAUCUGUUUGGCAGACUUUCCAGAAAAGGUGGAACCAAGGCCCCGGAGAGAGCAAACCCCCAGCCUGGGUCACAUGAAGAAAAUGGGGAGUAGGUCUGUAUCCCACGAUUUCUCAUGGCCUCAAGCCUGACACCCCCACCCCCCCAUCCCGGAACUGUGCCUCAGUUUCCUUUCGACUCUAAUCUGACAGUGGUAUUUUGGGGAUUAAAGGACUCUCUCCCUAAAGAACAACUUAGCACAGGACCUGGAAGGAAGCCACAGUGGGUCUUACUAUUACUGCUGUCGCUGUCAAUGUUGUUCUCUGGGCAAACAUUAGCAGAAAACAAGGCAAGGAUUUCUUUUGGCUUUUUUCUUCCGAGAAAGUAUAUUUCAGAUCACUCUCAGGAAGAGCAGAGUGUCGGGAGAGGAGAAAGCAGGUUGAGGGAAA